GGCUGGAUAGCUCAGUUGGUAAGAGCACCGGAACGGUUAUCCGGAGGUCGCAGGUUCAAACCCCGCUCCAGUCA
rnacentral:tRNA from 1 species